ACUCUCUGUUCAGAGCAGCAGCAGAUGUUGCAUCGAUAAGCAGGUCAGAUGGACGCAGUGAGAAUCAACCUUUUACUGCUUCUGCUUUUUUUGCAUGAUGUCUGGACUCUGAAGUGACUCUUGUGAAAACAAUCGGGAAAGAAUCAGAUUUCACUCCAAUCUGCACCAACAAAACAUCAAACAUCAUAUUGAUCAUUUGUAAAAUCAGAACAGAGAGGAACAAUAGAGAGGAGUGCAGUCUGCUCAGUGUGACUCCAGAUUCUCACUAAAAACCACACUGUAACAAAUUGCUGUAAAAAAACGGCCAAAACUGAACAGUAUCAUACUGUUUCUAUUGAAAACGGUACUGCACCGUGAAAAACAAUGCAUUCUGGGCAAUUAUUACUGUUUUUAAUAAAAUACUGUAGUAUACUGUGAGUAGCAUUGCCUUUUGGGAAUGAUGUUAGAUUCAACGGUAAGGAGGCUCUCUUUAAACAGAACGCUGCAGUAUUUCUGAAGAAGACAUGUUGUGGUGACAUGUGGAAGCAACCUCUAGAACUUUCUUUACAAGGACUAUCCAUUUGAAUCCUGCAUUUUAUGAGCCAAUCCUAAGGCGCUUUCUUGAUAUCAACCCGGACCAAGGCCAGCUGCAGCAAGAUCAUCUCCAAGAGGACAGGGAAAACUUUUCAAAAGAAGUCGG